ensembl:lincRNA
GAAGAAACAACUGAAAGGAACUGGGACGGAGUGAAUUAAAUUAGGGAAAUGAAGAGGGACUAAAGAGCUGCAGAUCUGUUGCUCAUCUGAAGAGGCAUAAAUUGCUGUGUGACCCUAUUUUCCGGUAGAUGGGGAAUUUAACAAUCAGAUGACAUUUAAUAGCAAAUGGAUACUUGCUAUUGUCUCAACAAAGCACCAGGUGGAAUGAAGUGCUUCAGUGAAGAAACUGCAUGGCGAGAAAAGGGGAGAUCAAUAAGAGAAAUGCCUGGUAGCAUCUGA